rnacentral:tRNA from 1 species
GGCGGGGUGCCGGAGCGGCCGAACGGGGCGGUCUUGAAAACCGCAGGCCGCCGGAGAGGCGGCCCCUGGGUUCGAAUCCCAGCCCCGCCG